rnacentral:rRNA from 1 species
GACGUAGGGCGCGAGCGUUGUCCGGAUUUAUUGGGCGUAAAGAGCUCGUAGGCGGCUUGUCGCGUCGAAUGUGAAAACCCACGGCUCAACUGUGGGCUUGCAUUCGAUACGGGCAGGCUAGAGUUCGGUAGGGGAGACUGGAAUUCCCGGUGUAGUGGUGAAAUGCGUAGAUAUCGGGAGGAACACCAGUGGCGAAGGCGACUUCCUGGCCCGUUCUUGACGCUGAGGCGCGAAAGCUAGGGGAGCAAACGGG